rnacentral:rRNA from 1 species
GGUGGGAUGACGUCAAGUCCUCAUGGCCUUUAUGCUUAGGGCUACACACGUGCUACAAUGGGUGGUACAAAGAGAAGCCAACUCGCGAGAGCGCGCCAAUCUCAAAAAGCCAUCCUCAGUUCGGAUUGGAGUCUGCAACUCGACUCCAUGAAGUUGGAAUCGCUAGUAAUCGCGGAUCAGCAUGCCGCGGUGAAUACGUUCCCGGGCCUU